ACCAUACCAUUUAACGGAAACCGCACCGUCUAACCCCCAGGCAGCUUAUUCGCCAUUACCAGUUCCAAUAAAGAGGAAGCUGGGAUGCCACUCUGCCUUCAAUCGUUACCUAUUCUCAAUGGCGAUCUCUACAAGCUCUACUUGCAGAAACCCAACUUCUCUUUACAAUUCUUUCUUUUCUUCCUCUAAUUCUCCUCGGAUUCCCUUCAAAUUUGAGAAAUACCAGUCCAGGCGUUCCUCCAUUAAACCUGCUUUGAUUUCCUGUGUUAUGACGAGAGAAUCCGUUCUUCAAGUGGAGGAGAAAGAGCAGAAAUGGAAUAAUUUUCAGAGACCGGAUUCGUUCGGUCGGUUUGGAAAGUUUGGAGGGAAAUAAGUUCCAGAAACCUUAAUGCAUGCUCUGACGGAGCUUGAGUCGGCGUUCAAGUCACUUUCAGGGGAUGAGGAAUUCUAGAAAGAACUAGAUGGAAUUUUGAGGGACUAUGUUGGGCGGGAAAGCCCUCUCUACUUUGCGGAGAGGCUUACAGAGCACUAUAAACGUCCCAAUGGUGAAGGGCCUCACAUAUACCUGAAGAGGGAAGAUCUCAAUCACACAGGGGCUCACAAGAUCAACAAUGCGGUUGCGCAAGCUCUGCUUGCCAAACAUUUGGGGAAAACACGGAUAAUUGCUGAGACGGGUGCUGGUCAACAUGGAGUUGCAACAGCUACUGUAUGUGCUAGGUUCGGUUUGCAGUGCAUUAUCUACAUGGGUGCUCAAGAUAUGGAGAGGCAAUCCCUUAAUGUUUUCCGGAUGAAGCUUCUUGGAGCUGAGCAUUUUAGUAUUCUUUGGGUGAUCAAGUAUUCUUUUGAAUUCCAUAUCUCCUGAGAAAUCAUUUGUUGUCUGGAAUGGAUAUUUGUUUGAUUAAUGAUUCAGACUGAGGUGAUUGAUGAGGAGAUGAUAUUAAAUUUUUUUAAUUUUUUUAAUUUUUUUUUUGUUACUGUUAGACCUUUGGUGAGAUUAAAAAGUGCUACAAUGCUCAAGGCCAUGGUGUUUUAUGACUACAGGAUUGAUUCUGAACCUGCA